GUUGAAGAACGUAGCGAAAUGCUAUAAGUAAUGUGAAUUGCAGAAUUCAGUGAAUCAUCGAAUCUUUGAACGCACAUUGCGCCCCCUGGUAUUCCGGGGGGCAUGCCUGUUCGAGCGUCAUUUCACCACUCAAGCCUCGCUUGGUAUUGGGCAACGCGGUCCGCCGCGUGCCUCAAAUCGACCGGCUGGGUCUUCUGUCCCCUAAGCGUUGUGGAAACUAUUCGCUAAAGGGUGUUCGGGAGGCUACGCCGUAAAACAACCCCAUUUCUAAGGUUGACCUCGGAUCAGGUAGGGAUACCCGCUGAACUUAAGCAUAUCAAUAAGCGGAGGA
rnacentral:misc_RNA from 1 species